GGAAAAGUGUGGAUGCUGUGCUCCUGUGGGUGGAUCAGUAGAAAUGGUCGAAAUGCUUCUUUUCGUGAAUUGAAGGACAAAGCUGAUUCUAAGCUACGCUCGAACCCAUCAUGCAUGCCAACAAUUCCAACACCCGCUUCUUCACAUUCUUUCUUGCCAUUUAAGCAAGUCCGAUGAUAUCGAACCAACAUUAUCGGAGUUACGAAGGUCGAUAGAAACAAUGAAUCAUCAUUCGCGAACGAAGAAUGGAGCUUCCUUUCACCGCACGCGUCUUGCGGGAUGCUGUACCAUGGAUGCUGUUCCAUGCCGAUAGGCGCAUAAGAAAAGUUGCAGCAUCACCUAAUAGAGCAUAGUUUAACUCCAUACGCGUUCGGUAUUCCUGGAUCAACGAACGCGCGUUGGAGCUCGUUGACAGCGUAAGAAAUGUAUUCGUUUCGAAAGUAUUUCCUGAUUAAAAUUCAGCAAGCGCUGCAAGGAAAAGCCAAAUUUCGCUUUUCACGAGAUCUAAGGCUGGUGGGAGUUCAGCUGAAGAUGUGGGGAUCAGAUCUGGCGGUAGGAAGUCUCUGACCCACUGACAUUCUCCUCAGUUACUUGCUAGACACAAACGUCGGUAAUCUGCGAUCGAGAGUUUCGAUGCCGGCAAUCAGGAUUACCGGUCAAAUACUUUUUGAGAAGAGAAGAUAGUCUAACACUGGUACGACUUAUCGAAUUUCGUAUCGAGAUGCGGUUGAAUCGUGGACUGUUGACUAGUGUCGCUGUCUUGACGGUUCUCUUCAUCGUUUUGAAUUCGAAAUCUGCGGUAGUCAUCCACGAUUCUGAAAGUGACGUAGACCGUUUGGCGGGAAAACAGGAAAUCUAUAGAAGCCAGACGUAUCGGCAUGUAACACCCUCUCUUGCGGAAUUGGGCGCUCAUGGAAAUUUGCCGAAAACGAAUAAACAUAUCCUAAUGUUGACUCGUGUACCGGACGCUGGAGCCGAAUCGUUGGUCUUGAUUUUGCAACGUCUGCAGGGUUACAAUGCUUUUAAGCAUAUAAGAUUACCGCCCGGUGAUCACAAACUUUUGUCAACUCUACAGCAGGAACUGCUAGUGGAAGAGGUUACGAAUAUCAUAAGACAGGAAGCGAUUCCUUUAAGCUUCGAUGGGGAUGUAAGGUUUUUGAAUUUUUCAAAAUUCGGUCGACCUGCGCCAACGUUUAUCUCUUUGGUGAGAAAUCCUAUGGGUACUCGAACUUUGCAGAGAUAUCGCGAGAAACAUAACGUGUUCGAAGGUAGAGCGAUACCCACGUUUUGUGGGCAGGAUCCUCGAUGCACAGAGAUAAAUAAUAAGUGGGCAUUACAACGGGCGAAAGCAAAUAUCGUCGAGUGGUAUCCCGUUAUUGGAAUAUUAGAUUGCAUGGAGCAAUCGAUAGACGUAUUGGAAUAUAAAUUUCCAUAUUUUUUCCGCGGAGCGAGACAGAUUUAUAAAAAGAUUCGGACGAACAAGAAUUUUUCUGAUUACACGAUAACGUUGAAACCACGCGAAAGAGAUAUUCUCUUUAAACUUUUCGAAGACGAGAUAAAGUUGUACGAGUGGUUAAAACUUCGGCUUUUUAAUGAAACACGAGUCAGAGAUGGAAGAAGUUAAUAUUAAUGAACCAGGUUGCCAUGCUUCGUUAUCUAUAGUUUUAAAUUGCACCAAAGAUAAUUGUUCUAAACGUGAUAUGCGGAUUUAAUUGUUCGUGUAUAAAAAUCGAUAUGCGCGCCGUUCGAAAAGCGAAUAGCAGCAGCAUCUAUUAUCAAAUAUUUCAAUCACGUUUGAAACAAACGUACAGUUUCUCCAUCUACUGUCGAUGUGAAGGAAGCGUGUAACAGUACACUUUCGCUAUUUGUA